rnacentral:rRNA from 1 species
GACGGAGGGUGCUAGCGUUGUUCGGAUUUACUGGGCGUAAAGAGCGCGCAGGCGGUCGUUCAAGUCGCGUGUGAAAGCCCCCGGCUCAACUGGGGAGGGUCACGCGAUACUGAUCGACUCGAAGGCAGGAGAGGGUAGUGGAAUUCCCGGCGUAGUGGUGAAAUGCGUAGAUAUCGGGAGGAACACCAGUGGCGAAGGCGACUAUCUGGCCUGUUCUUGACGCUGAGGCGCGAAAGCUAGGGGAGCAAACGGG